GGAUCCAGACUUUGAUCCUGGCUCAGGAUGAACGCUAGCUACAGGCUUAACACAUGCAAGUCGAGGGGAAACGACAUCGAAGGCUUGCUUUUGAUGGGCGUCGACCGGCGCACGGGUGAGUAACGCGUAUCCAACCUGCCCACCACUUGGGGAUAACCUUGCGAAAGUAAGACUAAUACCCAAUGAUAUCUCUAGAAGACAUCUGAAAGAGAUUAAAGAUUUAUCGGUGAUGGAUGGGGAUGCGUCUGAUUAGCUUGUUGGCGGGGUAACGGCCCACCAAGGCAACGAUCAGUAGGGGUUCUGAGAGGAAGGUCCCCCACAUUGGAACUGAGACACGGUCCAAACUCCUACGGGAGGCAGCAGUGAGGAAUAUUGGUCAAUGGGCGAGAGCCUGAACCAGCCAAGUAGCGUGCAGGAUGACGGCCCUAUGGGUUGUAAACUGCUUUUAUAAGGGAAUAAAGUGAGUCUCGUGAGACUUUUUGCAUGUACCUUAUGAAUAAGGACCGGCUAAUUCCGUGCCAGCAGCCGCGGUAAUACGGAAGGUCCGGGCGUUAUCCGGAUUUAUUGGGUUUAAAGGGAGCGUAGGCCGGAGAUUAAGCGUGUUGUGAAAUGUAGACGCUCAACGUCUGCACUGCAGCGCGAACUGGUUUCCUUGAGUACGCACAAAGUGGGCGGAAUUCGUGGUGUAGCGGUGAAAUGCUUAGAUAUCACGAAGAACUCCGAUUGCGAAGGCAGCUCACUGGAGCGCAACUGACGCUGAAGCUCGAAAGUGCGGGUAUCGAACAGGAUUAGAUACCCUGGUAGUCCGCACGGUAAACGAUGGAUGCCCGCUGUUGGUCUGAAUAGGUCAGCGGCCAAGCGAAAGCAUUA
rnacentral:rRNA from 1 species